CCUACGGGAGGCAGCAGUGGGGGAUAUUGCACAAUGGGGGGAACCCUGAUGCAGCGACGCCGCGUGGGUGAAGGAGUGCUUCGGCAUGUAAAGCCCUAUCGGCAGGGAAGAAGCAAGACGGUACCUGACUAAGAAGCCCCGGCUAACUACGUGCCAGCAGCCGCGGUAAUACGUAGGGGGCGAGCGUUAUCCGGAUUCACUGGGUGUAAAGGGAGCGUAGACGGCCAUGCAAGCCAGGGGUGAAAGCCCGGGGCACAACCCCGGGACUGCCCUUGGAACUGUGCGGCUAGAGUGCGGGAGGGGCAGGCGGAAUUGCUGGUGUAGCGGUGAAAUGCGUAGAUAUCAGGAGGAACACCGGCGGCGAAGGCGGCCUGCUGGACCGCGACUGACGUUGAGGCUCGAAAGCGUGGGGAGCGAACAGGAUUAGAUACCCCUGUAGUC
rnacentral:rRNA from 1 species